rnacentral:ncRNA from 1 species
UGCUUAACACAUGCAAGUCGGACGGGAAGUGGUGUUUCUAGUAGCGGACGGGUGAGUAACGCAUAAGAACCUGCCCUUGGGAGGGGAACAACAGUUGGAAAUGGCUGCUAAUACCCCGUAGGUUGAGGAGCAAAAAGAGGAAUCCGCCCAAGGAGGGGCUCGCGACUGAUUAGUUAGUUGGUGAGGCAAUAGCUUACCAAGGCGAUGAUCAGUAACUGGUCCAAGAGGAUGAUCAGCCACACUGGGAUUAAGGCACGGCCUAGACUCCUACGGGAGGUAGUAGUGGGGAAUUUUCCGCAAUGGGUGAAAGCCUGACCUCACAA